GGCUCUGUGGCGCAAUGGAUAGCGCAUUGGACUUCUAAUUCAAAGGUUGUGGGUUCGAGUUCCACCAGAGUCA
rnacentral:tRNA from 1 species